rnacentral:miRNA from 1 species
UUUUGUUAAUGUUUGGAGUA